ensembl:snRNA U6 U6 spliceosomal RNA
CUGCGCUUGCUUCAGCCCCACAUACACUAAAAUUGGAGCAGUGUAGAGAAGAUUAGUACAGUCCUUGCACAAGGAUGACACAUACAUUCAGGAAGCAGUUUUUUUUUUG